UGAGUAACCUGCCCUUAACUCUGGGAUAAGCCUGGGAAACUGGGUCUAAUACCGGAUAUGACUCCUCAUCGCAUGGUGGGGGGUGGAAAGCUUUAUUGUGGUUUUGGAUGGACUCGCGGCCUAUCAGCUUGUUGGUGAGGUAAUGGCUUACCAAGGCGACGACGGGUAGCCGGCCUGAGAGGGUGGCCGGCCACACUGGGACUGAGACACGGCCCAGACUCCUACGGGAGGCAG
rnacentral:rRNA from 1 species